rnacentral:rRNA from 1 species
UACGGAAGGGGCGAGCGUUGUUCGGAAUCAUUGGGCGUAAAGGGCGCGUAGGUGGUGCUGUAUGUCUCCCGUGAAAGCCCACGGCUCAACCGUGGUGUGUCGGGAGAAACUGCAGGACUUGAGGCUGGGAGGGGCUGGUGGAAUUCCCUGUGUAGCGGUGAAAUGCGUAGAGAUGGGGGAGAACACUCGUGGCGAAGGCGGCUUCCUGGACCGAUCACUGACGCUGAGGCGCGAAAGCUAGGGGAGCAAACGGG